AGCUAUGUUAUAGCACCCAGCUCAUCAACCUCACACUAAUGGCAGUAUGUCUAUAACUCUAGCUUUAUAUGAAGGUUGUAGGUAGAUGUCUGUAUUUGUGUGAACCUUUAAAUGCUAUGUGGUGAUGAUAAUGAAGCUGAUUUAUGCUGCUUACCAGAUGAGUCCCUAAGGCUGCUUAGAAACUGUGACAUAAGAUCAAAGGCAACUUGCAGAGAGCUAUGAUGUCACAAUUGAUCUUCAGGGCUUAGCUUUUUAAACUGGUGUGGUUUGGACCAGGACUUCACCAACUUGUUCCUGAAGUGCCCCCACAGUAGUGGACAGUGAAGCCUACAUGCUUGCAGUCUGGUGAUGAUUGAAGCACACCAUUCCUUUGACUUCUCCAGGUACAAUUCUACCACCUGUGGGUAAGGCGUAACUGUUUCCUCUAAUAGUAUAUCUGCUGCCUGGUUCUCAUCAAGGACAGAAUCUCCAGCUCCAUGGGUCUGUGUUGAUUCUUUUAAAUUGUGUUGGUCUUUCAAUUUGAGCACAUAAACAAACAAAAUCUAAGAACAUAUAGCUUGGCAUAAAAAAUUGCUUUGUGUAUUUCCACUGGUGUCUUAUAGCUGCAGUUGGCAACAUCUGGUUAAAGGACACCAGAGGUUCAGUUUCAGUAGAACUGAGGUGGAGUUCAGGGGUUUUUGUUGUUAAUGAUCUUCCCAGGUGCUUCUGAUAAACACUCAAGUUUGAGAACUCUUGAUUUAUUUAUCAGGAAAAUAUUAAAUCUUUAUAGAAAAUUUUGGAAUGGGAUAUCUAGAUGUUUGCUAUACUACAAAUAAAUAGAUAAGGCAUAGUUCCAGUUUCCGUGACAAUUUGGUACAGAACAUAUAUUUUUGUGGCAUUUUAACUCUGUUUAGAAUAUUAGGUAGGAUAUAAGGAAAUUAAAAUUAAUAUGACAUGAAUAAACAAUAUUUUUGUUUGAAAGGCAGAAUGAGAGAGAGAGAGAGAGAGAAAGAUCAUCUAUUCGCUGGUUCACUCUCCCAUUGACUGCAACGACCAGGGAUGGGUCAGGAUGAAGCCAGGAACCUGAAACUCCAUCUGUAUCUCCCACGUGGAUGGUAGGGGCCCAACCACUUAGGCCAUCAUCCACUGCUUUCCCAGGCACAUUAGUAGGGAGCUGGAGGGAAGUGGAGCAGCCAGGACACGAAUCAAUUACUCAUAUGGGAUGCUGGAGUUGCCAAUGGAAACUUAACCUGCUCUGCCAGGUUAACAAUUACUAACAAUUGAAUAUGCUCAUAAUUUUCACAGGGAAUAAAAUCUCUAGAUAGGGAUAUGUGAAAAGGAACAUACUUCAAGGAUAAUCAUGGUUAGUGGAAAAGAGAGAGUGAUAUCAGGGGAGCCUUCCUCCCAGACUACCUUGCUUGUACUUACUACUUCAUUUGUUGAGUCUCUUGAAAGCAACUAUGUGUUGCAAUAGAAAGCGCCUUGGCCUUGACAUGAGAUUCCUUGUUUUAAAGGCCUGCUUUGCCCCUCUCCAGCUAAGUAAUCCUCAGAAAGUUCCUUAACCUUUCUGAACCUGGAAUUCCUAUUUGUGAAACAAUAAUAAUGCCAGCAUGAGAAAUGUUUUGGUAAUCUGAGCAUGAAAUAAUAUUAUUCAUAUUAUGAAACUAUGAAAGGAACAAUUUCUGGUAUGUUUAUUUUUCAACAAACACCUGUAAAUAUGAGUGUUUAAAAUGUUCCAGAAUGAUUUAUUUAUCUCUAUAACAUUUUGGUGUGGUGUGUAUUUAACUUGGUGUUUUAUAGCAGCAGUUUCCAGAAUUUGGUUCAGAGACAUCAGAGCUUCUGUCUGGUUAGUAGAUAUGCAAUGGGACCUCUUUAAUCUUCUUAUGAAAAACGAACAUUUUGCAUUCUUAUUUAAUAUUACACUAAAUUUAUAGAUAAAUUUAAAUUCAUUACUAAAGACUCAGGAUGAUCUUUAGAAUAUGCAUUACAAUUGUACUUUCUAUUCUUUACUCCACUAAAAAUUGUUGGAAUUUUAAUUUUACUUUUUUUUUACAAGAAUUCUUGACUUUUAAAGACUAUAAAUAAUUAUUUCCCUUUAUAUUUAUUUCUUACUUUUAGCUGAGCUAAAAGUAUGAUUUUUUAAUCGCCAAUUUAUUUAUAUUUUAAAGAUUUAUUUAUUUAUUUGAAAGGCUUAAUUACAAACAGAGAGAGGGAGAGACAGAGAGAAAGGUCUUGCAUCUGCUAGUGCACUCCCCAAAUGGCCACAAUGGUGGAGCUGGGCCAAUCCAAAGCCAGGAGCUAGGAGAUUCUUCUGGGUCUCCCACGUAGGUACAAGGGCUCAAGGACUUGGGCCAUCUUCCACUGCUUUCCCAGGCUAUUAGCAGGGAGCUGGAUCAGAAGUGGAGUAGCUGGGACUUGUACAGGCACCAAGUUCCCUUCCUUUUCCUGAGUGAUCUCCUUAAUUUUGCCAUGAUUAGCAGACUUUACCAGACAAAUUUUCAUUUCCUCUGUUAUACAGGUAACAAGGUGUGCCAUCCUAGCUCUGUCAGCCUGGUCCUCAUGAUCCCAACAGGGUUCCUGAUCCGGAACUGCUUCUAUUUUCCCACCUGGUAUACUAAAUGUUAGGAGUGAAUGCUGACAAAGUUGUUGGCACACUCUCAGGCUUUCUUAAGGAUACAAUCAUUUUUUUAAAAAUCAGAAAUACAACAAUUAAAGUUAGUUGAAUUAGUUAAAACAACAAUAUUCCACUAAUCUAGUGAGAGUUAAGCUUAGUUUGAUAGACUCAUUCCUAAACCCUUCUAGGUCCUCAGAAAACUUGCCAAGCUUUUCUUAACAUAGUCCUAAGACAGUUACCAUCUGAG